UUUCUGCGAUGAUGAUGUAAAAUAAAAUAAGAUGACGAGUCCGAUCUCUAAUUCAUUCCCGUGCUCCUUGACGACACAAUCGAGGCAUUUUUCUGAGAGAA
rfam:Ricinus communis cultivar Hale ctg_1100012330194, whole genome shotgun sequence.